CGAUUCCCAUGGCCGCAGCCGCCUGCGGCACCAAAGCCAUGGCCCUCUUCAAGCGCACCUUGGUGCUGAGUCCCGCCGCGGCGCCCAGGGGCCCGGGCGCAGGCACCGCCCCGCGGGGCUGCUGCUUGCCUCCUGCCGCCUGGCCCUGCAAGGACUGGUCUCGGGGAGAGGGCGGCAGGCUGUGGAGCCGCCUGCCGCAGUCCCACUCCCACUCCUGCUCCUCGACGUCUCCCACCGCCGUGUGUGUUGUCUGCCCGCAGGACUCGCUCAGCAGCAGCCUGAAAACUUGCUACAAAUAUCUCAAUCAGACCAGUCGCAGUUUCGCAGCUGUUAUCCAGGCGCUGGAUGGGGAAAUGCGCAACGCAGUUUGCAUAUUUUAUCUGGUUCUCCGAGCUCUGGACACACUGGAAGAUGACAUGACCAUCAGUGUGGAAAAGAAGGUCCCGCUGUUACACAACUUUCACUCUUUCCUUUACCAACCAGACUGGCGGUUCAUGGAGAGCAAGGAGAAGGAUCGCCAGGUGCUGGAGGACUUCCCAACGAUCUCCCUUGAGUUUAGAAAUCUGGCUGAGAAAUACCAAACAGUGAUUGCCGACAUUUGCCGGAGAAUGGGCAUUGGGAUGGCAGAGUUUUUGGAUAAGCAUGUGACCUCUGAACAGGAGUGGGACAAGUACUGCCACUAUGUUGCUGGGCUGGUCGGAAUUGGCCUUUCCCGUCUCUUCUCAGCCUCAGAGUUUGAAGACC
rnacentral:sRNA from 1 species